CAGUCGCCACGGUAAUACGGAGGGUGCGAGCGUUAAUCGGAAUUACUGGGCGUAAAGCGCACGCAGGCGGUUUGUUAAGUCAGAUGUGAAAUCCCCGAGCUUAACUUGGGAACUGCAUUUGAAACUGGCAAGCUAGAGUCUUGUAGAGGGGGGUAGAAUUCCAGGUGUAGCGGUGAAAUGCGUAGAGAUCUGGAGGAAUACCGGUGGCGAAGGCGGCCCCCUGGACAAAGACUGACGCUCAGGUGCGAAAGCGUGGGGAGCAAACAGGAUUAGAGACCCCGGUAGUCCCUGUCUCUUAUAC
rnacentral:rRNA from 1 species